rnacentral:tRNA from 4 species
GGGGCCAUAGCUCAGUUGGGAGAGCGCAACACUGGCAGUGUUGAGGUCGUCGGUUCGAUCCCGUCUGGCUCCACCA